UUAAGAAAUGACACCCAAAUGACGCAAAAGCAUUUGGGGAUUCCAUCAGAACUCCGAAGUUAAGCGUGCUUGGGCGAGAGUAGUACUAGGAUGGGUGACCUCCUGGGAAGUCCUCGUGAUGCAUCCC
rnacentral:rRNA from 1 species